rnacentral:misc_RNA from 1 species
GGAAAGUUGGAUAUAAAGAAUUAAAAGAAGCGAGAUAAAAAAGAAAAGAAAAAGAAGAGCAGAGAGUUUGGAGUUUUGAGGAAGAAGAUGAUGACUAGAAUAAGGAGGAAUGUAUAGUGAGCAUGGCAGUUGCUGGAGCAAUUAUAGGUGCAGCAAUUGGCGGUUGGCUUAAUGACAAAUUUGGGAGGAAAAGUGCUAUACUCAUUGCUGAUUUCCUCUUCUUUGUUGGAGCUGUGAUUAUGGCAUCAGCAAUAAAUUCAGCACUCCUCAUACUU